rnacentral:rRNA from 1 species
GACAGAGGGGGCAAGCGUUGCUCGGAAUUACUGGGCGUAAAGGGCGCGUAGGCGGGAUGGCAAGUCGGUCGUGAAAUGCCUCGGCUCAACUGAGGAUCGUCGAUCGAUACUGCCGUUCUUGAGGAUUGCAGAGGAGACUGGAAUUCCCGGUGUAGCGGUGAAAUGUGUAGAGAUCGGGAGGAACACCGGUGGCGAAGGCGGCCUUCUGGACCAAUACUGACGCUCAUGCACGAAAGCGUGGGGAGCAAACAGG